rnacentral:rRNA from 1 species
UUUGAAUCCUGGCUCAGGAUGAACGCUAGCGGGAGGCCUAACACAUGCAAGCCGAGCGGUAUGGUUCUUUCGGGAACCAGAGAGCGGCGUACGGGUGCGGAACACGUGUGCAACCUGCCUUUAUCUGGGGGAUAGCCUUUCGAAAGGAAGAUUAAUACCCCAUAAUAUUUAGAAUGGCAUCAUUUUAAAUUGAAAACUCCGGUGGAUAGAGAUGGGCACGCGCAAGAUUAGAUAGUUGGUGGGGUAACGGCCUACCAAGUCAGUGAUCUUUAGGGGGCCUGAGAGGGUGAUCCCCCACACUGGUACUGAGACACGGACCAGACUCCUACGGGAGGCAGCAGUGAGGAAUAUUGGACAAUGGGUGCAAGCCUGAUCCAGCCAUCCCGCGUGAAGGACGACGGCCCUAUGGGUUGUAAACUUCUUUUGUACAGGGAUAAACCCAGAUACGUGUAUCUGGCUGAAGGUACUGUACGAAUAAGCACCGGCUAACUCCGUGCCAGCAGCCGCGGUAAUACGGAGGGUGCAAGCGUUAUCCGGAUUUAUUGGGUUUAAAGGGUCCGUAGGCGGAUCAGUAAGUCAGUGGUGAAAUCUCAUAGCUUAACUAUGAAACUGCCAUUGAUACUGCUGGUCUUGAGUAAGGUAGAAGUAGCUGGAAUAAGUAUUGUAGCGGUGAAAUGCAUAGAUAUUACUUAGAACACCAAUUGCGAAGGCAGGUUACUAUGUCUUUAACUGACGCUGAUGGACGAAAGCGUGGGGAGCGAACAGGAUUAAAUACCCUGGUAGUCCACGCUGUAAACGAUGCUUACUCGUUUUUGGGCCUUCGGGUUCAGAGACUAAGCGAAAGUGAUAAGUUAGCCACCUGGGGAG